AGUCUUAUAUUCAAAAUUGAUAUAAAAUUGCAAAUUUUAAGGUAUAUAAAUAAUAUAUUAAGGCUU
rnacentral:tRNA from 1 species